UCUCCGUAGGUGAACCUGCGGAGGGAUCAUUACAGAGUUCAUGCCCUACCGGGUAGAUCUCCCACCCUAUGUUAUUAUUACUUUGUUGCUUUGGCGGGCCGUUAGGCUCCGGCCCGACUACCGGCCCCGGCUGGUAAGCGCCCGCCAGAGGACCCAAAACUCUGAAUAUUAGUGUCGUCUGAGUACUAUAUAAUAGCUAAAACUUUCAACAACGGAUCUCUUGGUUCUG
rnacentral:misc_RNA from 1 species